rnacentral:rRNA from 1 species
GAUGAACGCUGGCGGCAGGCUUUACACAUGCAAGUCGGACGGGAAGUGGUGCUUUCAGUGGCGGACGGGGGAGCAACGCGUUAGAACCUGCCCGUGGGAGGGGAACAACAGCUGGAAACGGCUGAUAAUAACCCGUAGGCUGAGGAGCGAAAGGAGGAAUCCGCCCAAGGAGGGGCUCGCGGCUGAUUAGCUAGUUGGUGAGGUAGUAGCUUACCAAGGCCGUGAUGAGUAGCUGGUUGGAGGGGACGAUCAACCACACUAGGACUGAGACAAGGACCCGACUACUGCGGGGGGCAGCAGUGGGGAAUAUUCCGCAAUGGGGGGCAAGCUGAAGGAGCAAUGCCGCGUGGAGGUAGAAGGCCUACGGGUCAUGAACUUCCUCUUCUGACGAAGAGACAAUGACGGUAACUGGUGAAUAAGCAUCGGCUAACUCUGUG